rnacentral:rRNA from 1 species
AGAGUUUGAUCCUGGCUCAGAUUGAACGCUGGCGGCAGGCUUAACACAUGCAAGUCGAGCGGGGUGAUGUAGCUUGCUACAUUACCUAGCGGCGGACGGGUGAGUAAUGCUUAGGAAUCUGCCUAUUAGUGGGGGACAACAUUCCGAAAGGAAUGCUAAUACCGCAUACGCCCUACGGGGGAAAGCAGGGGAUCUUCGGACCUUGCGCUAAUAGAUGAGCCUAAGUCAGAUUAGCUAGUUGGUGGGGUAAAGGCCUACCAAGGCGACGAUCUGUAGCGGGUCUGAGAGGAUGAUCCGCCACACUGGGACUGAGACACGGCCCAGACUCCUACGGGAGGCAGCAGUGGGGAAUAUUGGACAAUGGGCGCAAGCCUGAUCCAGCCAUGCCGCGUGUGUGAAGAAGGCCUUUUGGUUGUAAAGCACUUUAAGCGAGGAGGAGGCUACCGAGAUUAAUACUCUUGGAUAGUGGACGUUACUCGCAGAAUAAGCACCGGCUAACUCUGUGCCAGCAGCCGCGGUAAUACAGAGGGUGCGAGCGUUAAUCGGAUUUACUGGGCGUAAAGCGUGCGUAGGCGGCUUUUUAAGUCGGAUGUGAAAUCCCUGAGCUUAACUUAGGAAUUGCAUUCGAUACUGGGAAGCUAGAGUAUGGGAGAGGAUGGUAGAAUUCCAGGUGUAGCGGUGAAAUGCGUAG